AAAAAAAAAAAUAAUAAUAAUAAAAAAAUAAAAAAACUAAUAAUAUACUUAUUGAUUAAUUACAUUGUUCAUAUUAAUUAACUAUUUAUAUUAUCUUAGGAAUUAAGACCCAUAUUAAAUUUGUUAUAAUUUUAAUUUUUCUUUAUUUUUGGUAAAUGAAAAUUUUAAUUUUGCACUGGUGGGAAAUUUGCCGUCAUCAUUUUUGACCCCUUUCCCUCCUGAUUAAACCUAGCCCUCUGAAUUUCUCUCUGCGCAAAAAGUAGCAGCAAAGAUCCGAAGGAAUACCGCCGGACCAGCAACGCCUGAUCUUCGCAGGAAAGCAAUUGGAAGAUGGAAGAUGGUGGAACCUAGCCGAUUACAACAUCCGUAAGGAACCCACCCUCAAUCUGGCCCUCUGCCCUACACGCCCUAGAAGAUUAACCAUAAGAAGAAGAAGAAGAAGAAGAAGAAGAAAAGGUGAAGCUCGCCGUCCUCCAGUUCUACAAGGUGGACGAUUCUGGGAAAGUCUAGAGGCUAAGGAAGGAGUGCCCCAGUGUCGAGUGUAGCGUCGGAACUUUUAGGGCCAACCACUUCGAUAGGCGCUACUAUGGUAAGUGUGGUCCUUAGAUUUCCUAUCUUCAAUAAAUCACUGCUAGCUUUACUGCGUCAUCUUCCUUGGUUUUCUUCUUUCCCUUUUUGUUUUUUUAAGUUGGUUUCAGGCUUUGCUAGUUAGCAACAAUGAGAGAGGCUAAUAUAGAGGCAAAGACAUUGCCAGGGGCAGAGAAGAAAGAGCUAGCUUUUCUCUUUUGCUGACAAGUAUGAUGGGCUCCUCAUAAUAUCUGAGAGUUCAGGAGCCAACAUCCAUGUAUGAUCUGCCUUUUGUGCAUCUUGCUUUAUAGUGUGUAUAUCAGCAAAGGUAGUAAGCAUCCGGUGAAGGUGAAAGCAACUUAAUUUCCUUCUUAUACUUAUCAAAGCAAGGUAUAUUGGUGUAUUGGUAGUAGAAACUUUGGGUAUUUUAUAGAGCCAAUUAUGGUGUAGGAGUUUGGCCGUGAUUACCCAAAGGGAAGAAUACACAUGGAAAUGAAUUAUAAGCUGGCAUUUAGGGCUGCAGAGGCUGCUUUUAAGUUAUUAUGGAGGUUGGAGCUCCUUUAAAUACUUACACCAUCCUGGUGUGCAGGACCUGCUCCAGAAAUCCUUCUUGGAUCUCCUGUGAGAUCCCGCCUGAUGAAGUCCCACUGGACAAUUCCUAAGAAUAUCUAAUGGAACUCCACUUGACACGUGGACAACGAACACAAGUGAUAUCAAUAAUAUUUCAAACAUUAUAUAUAAUAAAUCCACAACAGCAUAAAGUCCACAACCGGCCUAAGGUAUCACAGGCCGUAACUACACACAUAAGCAAUAUAGUCUCUAUUGGGUUUCAUAUUUAAAUCAAAGCAUUUUAAGAGUGUCAGUAAAGUUUAGAAGUACAAUAGUAGUAAAUAAGUUAAGGAAGAUAGAUAAUAAAGGAAGGAAAGAUACUGGUGCUAUAGUGGAAGAAACAAAGUGAUAAGCUGUGCGCGAGGUUGAUUGCUACUAACUGUCUAGGCCUAAGGGAAUGAAUUUAAAACAAUUAAAACGUGAGAUAAAGAAAUCUCAGUGAAUGACAUUGUAUAAUAGAAAAAUAUUAAUUUACUUUCGCAAAAAUCUCUCUCAAGACUUUUCGAUCUACUUGUUUGAAAAGUUUCCCGUUUAAAAUUGUUUUAUAAAACCCAAACUUGUACUCAAUUUGAAUAUCGAAAAAUUGAUGUUCAAAAGCACAAAAAUGAACAAUUAAUAUAAUAUUACAAAAUACGUUAAACAAGAUAUAGCGUUUGAACAUAAAAUCUUAUAAGCUUAAUUUCAUGAAAUAAUUAUGAAUGUGUAGCAAUAACCACCAUUUUGAAAACCAACAAUAUAUUCAAACGUGUACAAUGUAUAAAAUUAUAAACCAUGGAAUAUUCCCAUCUCACGAUCUACAAUAUCCGAAAGGUAUCGUGGAAAUAGUAAAUUUACCAAGGGUAUUUUGGGAUUGAGGCUGAAAAGGGUAUUUUGGAAUUUGAUUUCUUAUUUGGCAUACUUACCAAGGCUUAUAUAGAGCCUAGGUCACUAAUAGAUAAAAAUUGAAAAUUAGUUUGGAAACUGAUAUAAAACUUAUGUUUAAAAUUUUUCAAAAUCAUAACUUUUAUCUGUAAUUUAGAAUUUGGCGUUCUGCCAGUCUAUGAACUCAUAUCGACUAGAUCUACACAAUGGUAUUUCAGUCAAACAAAAAAUAUUGAUCAUAGAAAAAAUUAAUUUGGAUCCACGUAUGAUUCACUUGGUCAAACUUGUUAAAAUAUGUGUAUUUUGGUACGGGGUGUUACAUUUGGGUUUGCCGAGGUUUAUUAUGGGUGGGUUCCUUGAAAUACUUCUCUUCCAAUUAUGCUGGUAUGAAGUUUUUUUUUUUUUUUUUUGGGUCAACAUUCAUAAUUUGUUUUUCAUUCAUGGUUCUCUUCUGAAACUCUGUAUUUUAUAUUUAUUAUUUUCUAGUUGGUGCACAAGAACUUGUGUUUAUUCUCUUUUGAACUUGAUAGUCACCUCAAAGUGACUAGUUGAGAGGAAAGUUGCAAAGUUUCAAGAAAAAAACAUCAUUAAAAGGGGAUCAUUUAUUGUAUAGAUAGUAUAAUUUGCUUUGAAUUAUUUGAUUUAGGAAUUAUAGUUGCUAUUAUCUGAGUUAGGAAUUAUAGUAGCCAGUAAACAUGCUAGGUUGGUUUUCAUUUGACUUUGGUUAUUUAGGAAUUUAAGGACCAAGGUCAAGUUCAAUCAAUCGAGUACAUGUUUAAAAUUAAUGCAAUGAUGAGUUCAAUACAAGAUUUGUCUCCGCCACUGCUCACCAUCGCCAUCACUACUUGUAAUUGUUUAUAGAUUUUAUUGCCUAUGUUAUACAAAAUAACUGUUUUAAUUGUGUAAUGGCAAUUAUAUGCAUAGAAAGACAAUUAUUGUUUUUAUAAAUAUUUAAAGUUUUGGUGCUAUAAGAAUUUGCUAAUUUGCUUUA